ACCUCAAGUUUCAAUGGAAAAGAUAUGAAUCCUUUUCAAAUAGCCUUUAAGUUGAACCGAAAGUAAUUCUGAGUAAAUGCCGAUUGAAUUGUUAUACUUCAGGUUUGUGUGUGCUGAUACUGAAUAUUCUUUCAUUUCCAUUCCCCAUGUAGUUGGAGCAGAUAGGCGUACUAACCAAAUACUGCUGUUCCUUUUGGUGGGAGAAGCCAGUUCUCCAGUCCAACUAGCCAGGGAGAAUCAGCAACUUGAACCUACAAGUCCCUGGAGGUACUGUGGAAGUACAUACCAAUGAAAAAAUCCAGUGAUCAGAUGAAAGCCUUCCUCGUCAAUGCUUAGAUUCUGAUUUCUCACAGCAAUUAAUUUCUGAGACGGAAAAUGCAGUUUGCAAGUUCAUGCAUAAAGUGAAUAGCUAUGUUGUUGAUAUUGCCAGUGCAGCCUAAUUUCUGGGUAAUAAGAACAUAAGAUAAUGUGAUCUGUCAAUUCUGCGUGUAUUUAUUACAGGAAAAAAAAACACACAAACAACAAACUAGGAGAAUGAAAGGAAAAUACAACUUAUUUUGCAGUCUUCUCACAGCAAAUCUGAAUUCUGAUGCAUCAACACAGGGAUCAGUAAAACCUUGUGGAGGAAGCACUUCAACACAGUUUGGGAAAUAAAUUUUGGAAAAAUCAUUUGAUCCCAAAGAUCUAUGGAAAUUAUGUCUGUGUAAUUGGAUGCAACUAGUGAGAAGUUAUAUCACUUUACAUCCCAGUAACAACUUGUUAAGAGUUGUUAAGGUAACAGAAUAAAGAGUUGUUGUGGUAACACAAAUAAAAAAGUUAUGAGAAAGGUCUGAUGUUGUUGUUGUUUUUAUCAUCAGUGUCUUAUCAUUGUUGUCA
rnacentral:lncRNA from 1 species